UGGGGUCGCGGGGCCGAGGGCGCGCAAGUGUGGGGUGCUCCAAGGCUGCUGGGUGAGCUGCCCUCGGUCUGACUUCCCGACCCUGUUUUGUGUGUGAAGUGGUCUUGAGGACGGUGCUUCCCCCAUCGCGCGUCCCGUUUCCCGGAAGUGCCCGUAUCCGCUGAAGCCGCGGGGCGUGUGGCCUCUAAGCAUCGCCCGCGCCACCGAGGAGUCAGGCGCGGAGGUUGUCGCUAAUUGACCGGCCUAGAGCCUCUCGGGUAAUUGGCCAGAUGGGCCCCGAGAAGUGGCUGCGGCCCAGGAUAUUGAGGACGGGGGCUAAGGCUAAAGCCUGAUCUUCCCUGGCAGCCGACUUGCCUUAACUUGUCUUUGAAAAGGAAGUGGGUUCUUAACGCUUUUUGCAAGUGUUGCAACAAGCGAUCUUGUGGGCAAAAUGCCCGUUCAACUGAGCUGUUGUUUCAUAUGAAGUUACUCAAGAUCUAGCAGAGUGGAUUUGGAUUUUAGUGGACGUAGUUUAGCAAAACAUUGAUUCAUUUCAGCUACUAUGCACGCUCACCCAGACAACUACGUGAAUGAGAGGAUGGAAUAGUUCUGGGCUGCAUCAUCUUAGGGAGUCAACGUUACUUCUGGCAAGUUCUGUCUUCCCUGGCUAUUAUGGUUCGUGGCUUGGCACUAACUCAGACCAUGUGGACUGCAGAUGAGAUUGCCCGGCUGUGUUACGAGCACUAUAGGACCAGGCUGCCCAAGCAGGGGAAGCCUGAGCCCAACCGUGAGUGGACAUUACUAGCAGCCGUGGUGAAGAUACAGCCUGCAGCUGACCAGGCCCAUGGUGGCAAUAACAGACCUGCACAAGUGACAAAGGAAGUUGUCUCAAUGGGAACAGGAACGAAAUGCAUAGGCCAGUCCAAAAUGAGGAAGAGCGGAGACAUCCUCAAUGAUAGCCAUGCUGAGGUUAUAGCCAGGAGGAGUUUCCAAAGGUACCUUCUCCAUCAGCUCCACUUGGCCGCCCUGAAGGAGGAUAGCAUCUUUGUCCCCGGAACUGAGAGAGGGCUGUGGAAACUCAGACCAGACCUCUUGUUUGUGUUUUUCUCCAGCCAUACACCCUGUGGGGAUGCAUCCAUCAUUCCAAUGCUUGAGUUUGAAGAUCAGCCGUGCUUUCCUGUCCGUAGAGAUUGGGCCAAUAACCCAUCAGGAAAAGCCAGUGGUGACCUGGAAGCUCCUGAAGAUACAAAGAAAUGGGAAAACCUGGGUAGUCCUGUGACCAAAAAGAUGAGGCUUGAGCCUGGGAUUCCUGAUGGCGUGGCUCACCAUCCGAGUUUUGGCCAUGAGGAAAGUUGCCUGAUCCCACCAAGCAUCAGCAGCUCUCAUCUUACUGCACAGGAGCUGGCCACUCUCACUGGAAUGGCCCCCAGUGGUGCUAAAGUGGUGGACGUUUAUAGAACUGGAGCCAAGUGUGUGCCUGGAGAAGCUGGUGACUCCGGGAAGCCUGGUGCUGCGUAUCACCAGGUGGGGCUGCUCCGAGUGAAGCCUGGCCGGGGAGACCGGACUUGCUCCUUGUCCUGCAGUGACAAGCUGGCCCGGUGGAACGUCCUUGGAUGCCAGGGGGCACUGUUGAUGCACCUUCUAGAAGAGCCCAUCUACCUGUCAGCUGUUGUGAUUGGGAGGUGCCCGUACAGCCAGGAGGCCAUGCAGAGAGCUCUGACUGGGAGGUGUCAGAAUGUCUCAGCGCUACCCAAAGGCUUUGGAGUUCAAGAAGUGAAAAUACAGCAGUCAGGUUUACUGUUUGACCAGAGCCGCUGUGCAGUGCAGGCAAAAAGGGCUGACGGCCCCAGCCGACUUGUUCCUUGUGGUGCAGCCAUCAGCUGGAGCGCGGUUCCUGAGCAGCCGCUGGAUGUCACUGCCAAUGGUUUUCCGCAGGGAGCAACGAAAAAAGCAGUCAGGUGCCUUCAGGCCAGAUCCCGGAUCAGCAAAGUGGAACUGUUUAGAUCAUUUCAGAAACUGCUAAGCAGUAUUUCAGAGGACAAGUGGCCAGACUCCCUCAGGAUGCGGAAGCUGGAGACAUACCAUGAGUACAAGGAGGCCGCAUCUGCUUACCAGGAAGCCUGGAGUGUGCUCCGAAAGCAGGCCUUUGGAUCCUGGAUCAGAAACCCACCGGAUUAUCACCAGUUCAAAUAAGGAGGGCAAACUGCAACAAGCUUGUUGGUAGCAGAGUGUUUUCCAGCUGUUCACACUGGAUUGCUGCUUCCUUUGUGCUGGACAAGCCUUAGCUUUUCUUGUGGCUGAGUCGGGGGAAAAAAAGAGGUCUGCCAUCUACCAGAGCCACCUAUCUCUUUGGACAGAACUCUGUAACACGGAACAAUCUAUCCUUGAUUGAAGUAGCUCUCUCUGCUAAAAUGGUAUCUGGCUGAUGACCUUGGCGUCUUUCCUAACUUGUGUGUUAUUGCUUCUCUAAAAUAUGGAAUAAGAAUUUGGAAUGUGAUACUUUGAAAGGACUCUGCGGUAGCUCCAUUUUGUGUGUUCCUACAUUGAUUUGGCAAGUGUUUAUGGGGCAGAGAUGAUGUUCGAAGAACUUCCUUUGUUGUGGCCGACAUGUCUUAUAUACUCAGCCUUUCUUCCUUGGGAGAGCCACUCUUUCCUGCUCUACCUAUGGGACUGGGGUGAACCAAACCUUACUCCCUGGCUGUAGGAAUGGGAGCCAGCCCUGGACAGUUCCAGAACUGCUGCGAGAGCUAACAAGAAAGAGUCUCUCUCCUCUUGUACCAGGCACAGUAAGGGCCACAUAAUCGUGGGACCGCCUGUGGCUGCCUUUGCCACCACACACAGACAGGCAGCUUGAGAAUGAAGGCAAUAAAGAAGGAAACCAGAAUCUGCUCCCGUGACCUUGUCUGGAUGCCAGUGCCCACCCUGGACUCCCAAAAUUUUUAAAAUUCUGGCUCGAUUGAAAUAAUUGUGCGUAUAUAUUCCAUGCAGUCAUUUCUGCCUGAAAGCACGGGGCUAACUGCCUCGUUUUAUGGAGUUUGCCGGUGCCAAGCAUUAGCUCACUGUCUGGGAAAGCGGAGCUGCUACGGAGAAAAUGACCCGCCCUGGCAGCCAGCGCUCUGCUUGGAAGAGAAGCAGGCCCCGUCUGAUUUGGUCGUGUCUGUGGCUGGUGGAAAGCUGCCUCCACCUGGACCUUGGAAACAUUUGUUGGCUUGGAGACUGUUCUGAGCAAGCCUUCACCCAACUUGUCCAGUUUCUAAAACCCAGUUUCCUUGCAAGCUAGUUCAGUGGCUUAGGACAAUGUUAGGUUUUCAGCGACCACUGUCCUCUUGGGAUCCUGUGUGGGGAGGCCAGAUGAGCUGGGAAGAGGAGGCCCCACGCAGCAGGGAGGUAACCGGAACCAGGAGGUGACCUCUCAGUAGAAAAUGCAUAUGUGCUUGCUUGCAAGGGCCCGGGCGCUUCUUCCUGUAGAUACAAAGGCAGCUAUCCUGAAGGAGAGGUGGGACACGGAAAGAGCCAAGAAAGCAGAUAUGUUGAAGAAAACUAUUUUCCAGAAAGAAGCGUUCUUUUUGUAUCACGUGCUGAGGAAUUGUAGUUGGCCUUCGUGUCUCGUAAGACGUGAAUCCCUUUAAAUCUAAAUGUGUCUGUACUGGGGUUAAGACUGACUUCCUGGAAGGCUGUCCACAUGGAUCCCAGACAAAUGUGAAGUCGUACUUGUGGUCCAAAAAGGGGAGGAAAAUUUGCAGGCACACUUCAGGGCUGCAGGCAAAGUUGCAUGUGUUCCAUUUUUAGUUCUUAAAACUGGGGCCCCAAAACUAAUCAAGGGGGAUAGAAAUCGAAGAGUGGUUGGUGCCUGGUGGGGGAAGAUGAGGGAUGGGGGUUGAGUGGAAAAAGGCCUACGGGGACUUACUAGGAUUGUGGAACUUUUGAUUGAAGUGUUGAUUACAUGGGUGUAAACAUUUGUCAAAAUUUAUUAAACUCUACACUGAAGAUC